ensembl:lncRNA
UUUUAUAGCAGAAAACCUUAAAAAUAUUCUACAAUGUUCUGCAUAUAAAGUUUAAAUUUCUUCAGUAUUGACCAACAGAAAAAAUAGGCUUUCUUGUCUGAGGUCAUUUAAGUGAAAAAGAAAAAGACAGCAGCCACAGCGCUGUGAACAACGGUAGACUGGUGGGUAAUAAGCCAAUGAAUAAUACAGAAAACAGAGAUUGGAGACGGAAACUGUUCUUGAAGUACAGAGAGAGAGAGAGAGAGAGCUAGCUGUGCAUGAAGUGUGAUUUUAAUAGUCGUGGAAGCAAAACAGCAAAAUUCAUGACGACAUUGAUCAAAUGUGAAGCGCAGUUUGCUGCUUCUUUUGCUGCUGGCUCGGUGAAUUUUGGUUGGAGAGACAAAACCUGCAGCUCAGAAUCAGCGCAAAAAGACGUAAACACAGCGCAGACUGGACGCAUCAGGAUCGCUGAGCUCCGACAGCGUGUCCGUCUGCGGGCCGGCGGGUGAGAAAGCCGAGAAAGACAAAGCUGAUUCUGAUGCGUCGGUCUGUGUUUACGUCUUUGUGUGGAGUCCGUGUACCUGCUCUCAUCUGCUGUUUGGUUGUUGUUGAAAUGGUUUUGUGAGCUUUAAUCUGAGAAUCUGGCGUUUCUGGCAAAACACAGUUAUAUUUAAAAGUCGAUUCAGGAUUUAAUGAAUUGAUAUCGCUUUAUUCAAGCUACUCACCUCCCACUUCCACCUGCACUUUCAACUGGACCACGGCCAACCCUGACUAUCUCUGAUUGGUUUAGUCCACGAUAGGGGCAAAAUGUGUCUGUUGUUGACCACAGGGAAGGUUGCAGAUUUUUUUUUUUUUUUUUUUUUGCCACCCUAACAGUUGGUUGCACAGGUGCAACCAAAUAUAUGUAUGUAUGUAUUCGCACCACUGAAAAAUUUGGUCGCAUUUGCGACCAAAUUGGUGGCACUCUAGAGCCCUGUUAUAUAUUAAAAAUGUUUUGGUGUCGAAACUGAAAUGGUCCUUUAUGGAACUGAAAAAUAAGAACAUAUUUUUGGAGGUAACUAAUAAGUUAUGUGUGCUAAAGCUAAACUGAUCUUUGGCUAACGUGCUAGCAAACAGUAAAACUUGGCCAGUUAAAUUUUAUUUAUACAGAGGAAGCAUUUUGGCGACAGUGGGAAGGAAAAACUCCCUUUUAAUAGGAAGAAAUGUCCGCUGAACCAGGCUCAGGGAGGGGCGGGGCCAUCUGCUGCGACCAGUGCAGAGCGGUCAUAGUGAGUGAAGAAGAGAGGGGCCUGAAAACUGAAGGCUCUGCCUCCCAUUCUACUUUUAAAUACUCUAGGAACAACAAGUAGGCC